GGGGGGGGACACCGGCGGGACGGGUGCCAGCCUGCAGGCAGGGUGCAGGGCAGAGAGAAGGAGAUGGGAGCUGCGGCGUGUGGUGGACGCGGGGCUCACUCCCCUGCCAACCCCUCAGAUCGUGGCCGAGGGCCCCCGUGCCCCCCCAGCCUGUCUGUCCCCUCCCUGCGUGCUCCUCAGGGCAGCAGUGUUGCACCCUGGGCCACCCUCCACCUUAAGGAACCUGUACAGAUCCUAAUGGUUUCAUUAAACCCCGCCGGGGGAAGCAAGCAGAACGUGAAAGCAAUCUGGAGAUAUUUUACCUCUCAAUCCUCCAGGGAUUGAAAGACCCCCCCAGCCCGCUGCUGAGGGGCAGCGGCGGGCGCUGCAAGCCGCACUGGUGAGGAGCUCCAGGGGCUGCUGGCGAGGUAAAGUCCUGCUUGACCUGGAUCAGAUGACCGGCAGGAUCCGAACCUUUUAAAGUGAAAGACAGACCAUGCUCUCCGGUUUUGAAUGCAGGCGAGUCUCACUCGCCUGCAUCACCUGUGCCAUGUAAAUAAGCUUUCCCAUAUGAAUAAAUAAAUACAUAUAUACAUAAAAGCCAAUUUCUGAUUGAUGCUCUCCACUUGCCAAUCCAAAACAAAGCACCCGACAUACCCUUCUCCCUUCUCUUUCAGGUUCGCGGCGUUCCUCUUGCUCCGGCCGUGGCCGAGGGAAGUGCGCUCCCGCCCGCCGCUGUCCCCAGCCCGCUGCGGAGGCGGGGAUGCUGCAGUCCAGCACCGCGGCAGGGAGGGCCUCGUGCCCCCUGCAUCGAGUGGGGGCUGUGGGGGUCCCCCACGGGUGGGAGGCGAUGGAGGCCGGUUGCCCUGGCGACGGGAGGGAGGCAGCGCGCCCCCCGCGCUCACUCCCGCAUCCUGCCGCGCAUCCCUCAUCCUGCUGCGCAUCCCGCAUCUUGCCACGCAUCCCUGUGUGGUGGCUGCCACGGCUCCUGCCAAGGCAGAAGCCAAAAACCUGCAUAUACUGAGCUGUGCGGCUCCGGCCGGGACAGAUGAAGCAGAGCUGGAGCGGAGCAGACGGCUGCGGGGCUGUGGUGGGGCUGGUGCUGGGGAAGAGGCAGCACAGAUGGCUCGCCCUGAGAAAGCAGCGGCUAAGGACAGCUCGCCCUGAGCCCGGGGCGUGGGGGGCUGCAGGGAAGGAGGAAACUUGCUGAAGUGUAAAUAUGGGCUGGAGGUGGUGCUGAGGUUUGGCUGGAAGUCGCUUUGUCUCUGCCUGCGACAGCUGGCUUCAUAAGUAAUAAUAAUAUAAUGAUCACCAUAUUGCACAUGUAUCGUAAAGUUAUAUUAAUAUAAUAAUAAUAAUUCACAGGUUAGCAGGAACUUGGGGCAGCAUCCCUGGGAAGAGGGAUGGCCAAGGCUGCCCAGUGUGCUCAAAGGAGCACAAAGGCAGGUUUCUGCACAUAGUUUUACUACAGCGUGGGCCAGCCAGGAUUUUGUCUGAAUUGAUAUAACAUGCUGCCUGGAGAGGCACGAGCCAUCACCAACCGGGUCCUUGCAAGCCAAUCCAUGCACAGAGCUACAAUUUCAAUUAUAAAAAAUAAAUAAAUCACAAAAUCGGGUAAUGUCA
rnacentral:lncRNA from 1 species